AAAUGUCACUGUUGUGCAUAUUUUUCUGAUCUUACUCAUAGGACUUUCUUUCUUUCUUUCUCAGGCUUGUUGGUGUAGGUGAGGCGUCAUUUAUCAGCCUUGCAGCACCCUUCAUUAAUGAUAAUGCCCCUGAUACUCAGGCGCUGAUUUGAAGAAUGCAGCUGAAAUAAAUAGAUGUCAUAUUUCCGGCCCUUAUUUGUCAAGAUCUGAAGAUCUCCGUGUUUUUUUUUUAUGCAUAUAAUUUUUGAAAUGCUUGUAGGUGUAGGUGAGGCGUCAUUUAUCAGCCUUGCAGCACCCUUCAUUGAUGAUAAUGCCCCUGAUACUCAGGCGCUGAUUUGAAGAAUGCAGCUGAAAUAAAUAGGUGUCAUAUUUCCGGCCCUUAUUUGUCAAGAUCUGAAGAUCUCCGUGUUUUUUACAUGGAUAUAAUUUUUGAAAUGUAUAGUUUCCAUAUCAGCACUGUAUAUUAUAUUAUAUUAUUAUUGUCUUUGCUAUUUUACGAUGAAAUCUUGCUUUAUAUAUUACCCAAAGAUUGCUGAAAUCUCUGAAAUUCUGACCAAAUUUAUGUAAGAAAAUAUUAGAAUUUGUAUUUAUGUUAAGCAAUUUAUUUAUGUAAGGGCGUACAGGGAUUUCAGCAAUCUAAUUAGACCAUU